rnacentral:rRNA from 1 species
UACGAAGGGGGCUAGCGUUGUUCGGAAUCACUGGGCGUAAAGGGCGCGUAGGCGGCUUUAUAAGUCGGGGGUGAAAGCCUGUGGCUCAACCACAGAAUUGCCUUCGAUACUGUAGAGCUUGAGACCGGAAGAGGUAAGUGGAACUGCGAGUGUAGAGGUGAAAUUCGUAGAUAUUCGCAAGAACACCAGUGGCGAAGGCGGCUUACUGGCCCGGUUCUGACGCUGAGGCGCGAAAGCGUGGGGAGCAAACAGG